CCUACGGGUGGCAGCAGUCGAGAAUCAUUCACAAUGGGGGAAACCCUGAUGGUGCGACGCCGCGUGGGGGAAUGAAGGUCUUCGGAUUGUAAACCCCUGUCAUGUGGGAGCAAAUUAAAAAGAUAGUACCACAAGAGGAAGAGACGGCUAACUCUGUGCCAGCAACCGCGGUAAUACAGAGGUCUCAAGUGUUGUUCGGAAUCACUGGGCGUAAAGCGUGCGUAGGCUGUUUCGUAAGUCGGGUGUGAAAGGCGCGGGCUCAACCCGCGGACGGCACAUGAUACUGCGAGACUAGAGUAGUGGAGGGGGAACCGGAAUGCUCGGUGUAGCAGUGAAAUGCGUAGAUAUCGAGAGGAACACUCGUGGCGAAGGCGGGUUCCUGGACAUUAACUGACGCUGAGGCACGAAGGCCAGGGGAGCGAAAGGGAUUAGAUACCCUGGUAGUC
rnacentral:rRNA from 1 species